GUCAAUCUUAAAUGCUGUAUAGGAGGAUCUCAUUGAGAAGAUAUCAUUUGAGCAAAGAUGUAAAGCAAGGGAGGGAAUGAGUCAGUGGCUACAUAGCGAGAGUGUCCUAGGCAGAGGAAACAGCUUCUACAAAAGCCCUGAAGCAAGAGAAUGUUUGAAGUGUUCAAGAAUAAACAGGAGAUGCAGAAUGAAUGGAAUUGAGAGUGAGUGAGGCAGUCGGAUACAAGAGAGACUAAUAUGGGGCAGCACUGAAGACUGCUGACAGCAGCCACAUGAGUGAGCUCAGAGUGGACACAACAGCCCCUUCAGAGGCUGCAGGGAUGGCAGACAGCCUGACUGCAAUGUCGUGAAAGAUGCUGAGGCAGAACCAUGCAGCAAAGUCAUUCCCAGAUUCCUGACUCUCAGAAAAUGUUGUUACUUUAGAGAAGUCUGAACUUGCCCUUUUUUUCAUCUUUAUGCCUGAGGAAAUUUUUCUUUAUCAUCAAAGAACUCUGAGAAUUGAUGGGCACUGUGUUAGAGCAAGUGGGAAGUAUAGACACAGCUUCCCAUGUUAAGCACGAGCAAGAAGAAAAUAAUUUGAAUGGAAACUAUUCAAAUAUAUCACAGUGAUCAAAGAUUUAAAAGUGGAUGAAAAGAGACAGCUCAAGAACCCAAUUCAGAAGACAGCAUAGCUCAAGGAAACCAGGACUCAAUUCCUGCUCCAUGACUACAUUUGGAACUUCACUGCUGAGUUUCCGGUUCUGCUAGAGCUUCCAAGAAUGGUGGGCUAAAGUCCCUUUCCUCGAUAAUCUCAUUUCUCAUGGUUUUCUACUUAAAGCAAUACUGUCUAUGAAGUGCAACCUGGCUCUUCCUUCUCCCGUAAUCAUUGCCUCUCUGGAUUUUCCUUCUUCCAAGACUCCCUUUCCUGAUUCCCUUUAACACCCCUUUCAUAAUUCACAUCCAG
rnacentral:lncRNA from 1 species